rnacentral:rRNA from 1 species
GUCGAGCGGUAGAGAGGUGCUUGCACCUCUUGAGAGCGGCGGACGGGUGAGUAAAGCCUAGGAAUCUGCCUGGUAGUGGGGGAUAACGCUCGGAAACGGACGCUAAUACCGCAUACGUCCUACGGGAGAAAGCAGGGGACCUUCGGGCCUUGCGCUAUCAGAUGAGCCUAGGUCGGAUUAGCUAGUUGGUGAGGUAAUGGCUCACCAAGGCGACGAUCCGUAACUGGUCUGAGAGGAUGAUCAGUCACACUGGAACUGAGACACGGUCCAGACUCCUACGGGAGGCAGCAGUGGGGAAUAUUGGACAAUGGGCGAAAGCCUGAUCCAGCCAUGCCGCGUGUGUGAAGAAGGUCUUCGGAUUGUAAAGCACUUUAAGUUGGGAGGAAGGGCAUUAACCUAAUACGUUAGUGUUUUGACGUUACCGACAGAAUAAGCACCGGCUAACUCUGUGCCAGCAGCCGCGGUAAUACAGAGGGUGCAAGCGUUAAUCGGAAUUACUGGGCGUAAAGCGCGCGUAGGUGGUUCGUUAAGUUGGAUGUGAAAUCCCCGGGCUCAACCUGGGAACUGCAUUCAAAACUGUCGAGCUAGAGUAUGGUAGAGGGUGGUGGAAUUUCCUGUGUAGCGGUGAAAUGCGUAGAUAUAGGAAGGAACACCAGUGGCGAAGGCGACCACCUGGACUGAUACUGACACUGAGGUGCGAAAGC